rnacentral:lncRNA from 10 species
CUAUUCAAAAGUAAUUUGAAUUAACAAGAAAUUUUUCAUCUGUUGGAUGGCCAUUCAUAUUUAUUCUAUUGCCCAUUGUAUGAACUUUUAUAUUUUUGCCAUAUAAUUUGUGUACAUUAUUCUUAGAGAUAUGUAUCCGUCUUAUUUUCAUCAGGAAGCCUAGUGAAUUCUCAUGUCAGGCAUAAUAGCAUUAACGAGAGCUUGAUAGGAUUAAUGAAACUUAUAUAUUUGUGUCUCUAAUGGAGAUUUCCUCCCUUUUAAUGCCCAGAUGUGCCAGGUGGUGCCAGUGCCAGCUAAUCACCUCCCUGUUGGCAGCACCGUGAACACUGUGCACCUGUCUUCAGAUGGCACUUAAAGCAGAGAAGCCUGCUGUGUGGCUGUGGGAGUCAUCAGAGAGGUGGCAGUGGAGGUUUGUUAUCGACCCAAUCAUUACAUCGCUACCCAAGAGUUGGAAACUUCCUGUGUUGCCCACGCUGGUCUCAAACUCCUGGACUCAUGGGAUCCUCCCACCUUGGCCUCCCAAAGCAGUGGUAUUACAGGCAUGAGCCAUUGCACUGGGCUCCUGUUUAGUUUUAAUUUUAAAACACCUCAAGAGUCAGAUAAUUCAGGGAAAGACCAUGCAAGGCUGUUACUGAAGAAAGUGCUACGAGUCUGUUCUAGACAUGGCUUGCCUAGCACUGAGCAUCCUUCCUCACUUCUAAGUGAGAAUUUUCCAGAUCUGUGCAUUGGGGUCCCCCAAGAAAGAGGCUCAGUCCUGAUGUACUGUUUCCUGUAUACUGCAUGCUCACCCCCCAAAACCACAUGGUUAAUCCAGAUCCAGCCCCUGCUUUCUUAGUUAUGAGGCUUCUCAUGGCAAAGCAAUAAAAAGCAAGUUUUCAAUGAUAAAGUCAUGUCUGAAAACAUGUUAAUUGUCAUCAUCUUUGAUGUUGUAACCUGAGCUAUAGAUUGUUGGGAUGCACACGUUACUCUUUUAAGCUUAUGUGCCUUGAUUCUGUCUACAUCAUUUCUUUCUUUCUGAACUGUGAACUGCGCUAAUUUGAUGGGGUUUGCUACCUGAUUGGGGUCCUGACCUUAGCCUUCAUCUUGCCAUAUACAGUUUGUUUUUGUCUCCAUCAGCGUUAGCUCUGUUCAACGCCCUUGUGGAGUCCAGGACUUAGAGAGAGGAUCUCCAAGCAGAAGCCCCCAGCCCACGUGAGAACAGGGAGACCCUUGUGCCCUUAACUGUUUUCCAUAGUACUGCCCAGCCUUGUACACUCUGGCCCAAAUGUUCCUCACCUUUGGAAGACACAGAACUUCUUUCAAAACCAUUGAAAUAUCGAGAUCAUUUCCGCAGAAAGAAAAUGUAAUUUAAGAGGAUCCAGAUGCUCAGUGUCAUCUUCGAAGAUGCCAGGUCACAUUGGCAAAGGCCGCAAGAACUGAUAUGAAAAACCAGAUGCAAUGAAAACCGUAACUGUACAUGAGACAGAACUGCCCAAGGUCAAGCUGGGGCAUUCUGUGUGAAGAGGAAGAUGCCUUGGCAGAAGAUCACUUCAUCAUGACCAGGGCAUCAGAAGAAGGGGUCGCAGAAUUUAUUCAUGAUUCAAUAAGUAUGCACCACCUGUCUGGAAGUGAGUUAGCAUAAAACAUAAGUUCAGUAAGAAUACAAGAAUGAGUGAGUGAAUUAAGAAAUGAAUGGAUUGGGAGUUACCAUUGGCCACACACCGCUUAGACAGUAGAAUAUCUCAGCCAGGUAGAAAGAAUGGAUCAUGGUGGCCCAGCAAAGCAUGUACUUCCUGGGGCAGAUUGUGGCAUCAUUAUCUCCAACAUCUCUGACAAUUUCUGUUUCAAGUUAAGGGCUGGUCAGCUUCUAUUCUUAGAAACACUUUCUUUACACAUGUCAGUAAAUCAAAUCUUGUCUUUAGAGACAAUCCAUCUUGUUAAACUAACUUUGUUUGGGUCUACCCUGACCCUGUUUGUGCCACCCCUGCCCCCAUACAUAUAAUCAGUUUUGUCUGUAGUUAUAAUUUGUCCAUAAUUUGGAAAAGAGAAGCCUAAAAAAGUUCACUCUAGACACUUUCAGCUAGGAACAAACUUAUAUGUGAAAAUAAUUAAAAUGUGGGGAGUGAAGGUUUAUAGUGGAACUAUUUACAGACCCUCAAACACUGCACAACAGUUGAAACUUUGCUGUAGUGACUUCAUUCUCUUAGUUGUCAAUCUGUUUUUCUUCUACAUUUCUUCCACAUACUUCUGGUAUAUUUUUAAUAAAGAUUUUUCAAAAAGAUAAAUAUGGCUUAUAUUUUCCCAGCUCAAAAUUCCCCUGAAGGCCUCCGAAGCAGUAAAUAGUAGUGCUUUGAAUACUGCUCUUUCUUUUCCUG